CCAGCCAGUGGCCACUCACUUCCUGUUUACGUUCCACAUCCGACGUCACGCUCGUAGCGUCUGACAAACACUUUCAAAACCGAAACAGGGGAUAACUUGAGAAACACCUCCUCUGUAUUCCUGUAGCGACUGAAUUCAAACUUAUUCCGUUGCAGCUGCAUAGAGGAGCACCUGGAGAAGAGUACGAGCCACUUUUUAAGCUGUCCUACCCACAUUUGAGGAUCGAAACCAGCUAGCCGGGCUGCUAAGUUGAGCUAACCUCUCGUCGAUAACAGUAGCCGGGGUGCUAGCUAGCUUACGAGUUAGCCACAGAAACUCAACAGAACUUCAGGCUUUUCCGCUGUGUACCCGACGUCUGUCAGCAUGGAGAAUAAAUACAACCUUAAGAGUCCGGGCCUCCUGCCUGGCAGUGGGAAACUCAGCAUCCUUCUACCAAUAUAUUCACUCUCUCUCCUCUGGACAUGUCCGAACCAUCUCAGUCUGGCCUCUCUGACUUUAUCUCCAAAGCCUCUAACAUGUGCUGUCCCUCUGAUGUACUCAUUCCUGAUCCUAUCCAUCCUGGUCACUCCCAAAGAGAACCUCAGCAUCUUCAGUUCUGCUACCUCCAGCUCUGCCUCCUGUCUUUUCCUCAGGGACACUGUCCCCAGACCAAACAACAUGGCUGGUCUCACCACAGUUUUGUAAACCUUUCAUUUCAUUUUAGCUGAAACUCUUCUAUCACACAUCACACCUAGAAAAACAGCUGAAGGAUGCGGAAUGUAUGCCACAACAACCGAUUUGCGGUGAAGCAGGACAACAAAGGCACCUUUAAGUGUUAUUGUACACUUCAUAAAUAAAAACUUCUAGAGUUGCUGCCUGCAAAUGGCUCACUUUCCCGUUGACCACAUGGAAGAGAAGAUUGCAAAUGGACCAAAGGAGUGUUUGCCCAGCUGGUGUCUGAAAGAAGAUUGCUGGUCGUAUAUCACCACUGAUGCAUCAAACGCUGACGUGGAACUGAAUCAGUGGACCAGACUUUGUAAGCAGUUGGUUGGCCAUUUGUCGCACAGUUGGUGAAAGAAGACCUUCCUGAUUGAAGCUCAGCAAGAGUUUAAUCUGUUGGAGCACUUGGUGAAAACAGUGUCCAACCAGAUGGGGCUGAAGACAGAGGAUGAUUGGUAAGGUGUUGGAGUGGACCAGUCUCAGGUUCUGUCUGACAACAAGAAACGCAGCACUUGGUCCCCACUUGACUGGACGCAGAAGUCCUUUAAUCAGUCAGCAACGCCCUGCAUCCCCUUCAGGUGUUUACAGACACACUAUAACAGCACUAGUAAGCUUGUCAUACCUGAAGCCUGUCCUGCAUCUCCAGAGAACAGCAGCUCUGACUGAAAGUGAGGAGGAGACGGACCUUACCAAGGCAGCAACAUCAAGAGCCCUUGCCUGCAUGGAUGUACUGGGCCACAAAACAGCUUCUGGACAACACUUGAUACCUGAGAUUAACUACUCGAAAAAGGCUCGUGUCAGCACCACAGGCACCGUGCUUUAAAGUGCAGCAGAGGCAGAGCCAUCUACUGUGGGGGAAAACAGAAAGCAGUCCUGAGGCAGCUUCUUUAAGAACAGUGCUAUGCCCCCUCUGCUUCAUUUGCUGUGCACUGCGAGGAUGCUGUGGAAGGUGAGCUCAAUGGUUACACGAUAACUUCUACCAUCGAUGAAGAGAAGGAUCCUUCAGCCAGGGGGAACGUACACAGUGUUAAUUUUCCAGUGCAAUGCAAAGCAGACGGGUAGAUUCCUGUGCAUACCAGUCACUAGUUCACCAUCAUUGAGAGUAUUUAGUGGGGGCCAGGAAAUACUGUCACCAUUCAUGUCUGACACUAAUAAUGUACUACUUUGUCCUUUGAUGACAGCCAUUUUGGAAAAAGGCAAAUGCUAGUUUAAAGGAAGAAAUAGUUGAAUGUGAAACAUUUGAUAUUUUGUGUAACUUGUCGAUGUCUGUAUCUAUUACUAUAUGUAGUGAUUGUCUUUUUUGCUAAGUGUUCUGUGGUUUGGCAAUUUCUUAUUAUAAAUUGAAACCAACACAUCAGUAAAUGAUGUUCUAUUGACUACAGUGUAACUACUGAGCCAUAAAUAAAUGCUCUACCCAUCCUGUGUCAAAGUCUGUUUGCAGAGCAGUCUUGUUAUUUUCUUGUUGGAAUUUCUUUUGUUAUUAUCAUUAUUAUUAUUGUUAUUAUUAUUAUGUUUCUUAACACAGUCACAGUUUUUGUGCUAAUUGCUAUGUUCAAUUGUUCAGUGCCAGUUAAAGAAAUUGCAUUAAAUACAUAUUGGAAGGUAUUUGUCUUAAAGUUCUCAUCAUUGAAUUACACUCAACAAAAAUAUGAACACAUGAUUUUUGUUUUUGCUCCCAUUUUUUUAUGAGAUGAACUCAGAGAUCUAAAACUUUUUCCACAUACACAAUAUCACCAUUUCUCAAAUUUUUCUCACAAAUCUGUCUAAAUCUGUGAUAGUGAGCACUUCUCCUUUGCUGAGAUAAUCCAUCCCACCUCACAGGUGUGCCAUAUCAAGAUGCUGAUUAGACACCAUGAUUAGUGCACAGGUGUGCCUUAGACUGGCCACUCUGAAAGGUGCAGUUUUGUUUUAUUGUGGGGGGGUCCACUCUUCAAUGGCUGUAAAGUCGCUGGAUAUUGGCGGGAACUGGUACACGCUGUCGUAUACGCCGAUCCAGAGCAUCCCAAACAUGCUCAGUGGGUGACAUGUCCGGUGAGUAUGCUGGCCAUGCAAGAACUGGGACGUUUUCAGCUUCCAAGAAUUGUGUACAGAUCCUUGCAACAUGGGGCCGUGCAUUAUUCUGCUGCAACAUGAGGUGAUGUUCUUGGAUGCAUGGCACAACAAUGGGCCUCAGGAUCUGGUCAUGGUAUCUCUGUGCAUUCAAAAUGCCAUCAAUAAAAUGCAGCUGUGUUCUUCGUCCAUAACAGACGCCUGCCCAUACCACAACCCCACCGCCACCAUGGGCCACUCCAUCCACAACAUUGACAUCAGAAAACCGCUCACCCACACGACGCCACACACGCUGUCUGCCAUCUGCCCUGAACAUGUUUGGGAUGCUCUGGAUCGGCGUAUACGACAGCGUGUACCAGUUCCCGCCAAGAUCUUUGAGUUCAUCUCAUAAAAAAUGGGAGCAAAAACAAAAGUGUUGCGUUUAUAUUUUUGUUGAGUGUAGAAUACAGAACAGUUACUACUUUGAUAGUAUCUUCUGUAGUAAUACUUCAUUAAAUUUUUAAAUCUAUUACGCAAUGAAUGUUGACCUGAAGCUUGACUUUGGUAAGCUUUUUUUUUGUUAUUAUUUGUAAAAGCCUCUUUUUUUUAGUUUAUACAGAUAAAACUUCAACAGGAUUACCAGUAUCUGAACAUUAAUAUUUUUAUGCCCCAAAGCUGUCUCUUCCAUCUAAUUUUAUGUCCUGCUUUCUGCUUUGAAUAUUUGUUAGAAAGUUAUGUGAGAGUUGGAUGUGUUACUUUUGCAAAUCCAAAAGAAAAACUGAGGUAAACUUAAUUUAUUGCAUCAGGGAAUAUUUGAAUAGUUUGGAAAUGCUGAUUAGGAUAUUUUGUGCUUUUAACAGCAUUAAGCUUAAUUCACAGAGCAGCAUGAUAUGAGUCAAAAGCAUUAAGUCCCAGAAAGAUUUGUGUAAGUAAUUGGUAUUAGGCACCAUUGCAUGCUUCCACAGUGCAUAAUUGAUCAAUUAAUUUCGUUUAUUAAUAUUUUUGCAAAUGCUGCCAUAUACCCCAAUAAAAGUUUGGAAGUGUUUUAAAGCAUGAGAAUAGACAGGUUUACAGCUUAGGUGCUGUGCUGCUUUAAAUGGUGGUUAUAUAAUUUAGUGCUCAAAACUUUUCAAGGAUUCUGGAGAUGUCAUCUAUUAAUUGUUAACGCAGCAAGUAUUUGAUUAAGAAUUAAAAUUGCUCUCUGCUGUGAAUACCGAAGAUGUAUUUGAUG